UACGAAGGGGGCUAGCGUUGCUCGGAAUCACUGGGCGUAAAGCGCACGUAGGCGGCUUUUUAAGUCAGAGGUGAAAUCCUGGAGCUCAACUCCAGAACUGCCUUUGAUACUGGAGAGCUUGAGUCCGGGAGAGGUGAGUGGAACUGCGAGUGUAGAGGUGAAAUUCGUAGAUAUUCGCAAGAACACCAGUGGCGAAGGCGGCUCACUGGCCCGGUACUGACGCUGAGGUGCGAAAGCGUGGGGAGCAAACAGGA
rnacentral:rRNA from 1 species